rnacentral:lncRNA from 1 species
AUGGCAGCUGGAAAACAUCCAAUGGGCUGUGGGCAUAAAAUAAUGGAAUUAAACUGCUUUGUGCUGUCAGAAGGCAUGCCUAUAACACUAGCAGUCCAGGAAUUUACCAGAACAUACAAAACUCGUAUCAGCGAUAAAACUAGAGAAGUGUGUGCUAAAGAUGGAUUUACUGGGGUCCAACCCUCCAAACCGUGUCUGAAGAAUUUCAACACCAGGUUCCUGCAGUUUCAGAACUCUUGUGCCCUCCAAUACUUACCUCUGAAUUUCUCACUUUCAGUCCAUGACUCCCAAACGCACUGA